UUGCAUUAUAAAUAGAGUGUUUGUGCACAUAUGGUAUUAACUGAAAGAAAGCAGAGAUAGAAAAUUAGAGAAUGAGAAAUAUAGUGAGGAAGUCGAGAGUCUCAGAGAAGGUAAAACUUGAUGAAUUUGAUGAUCCAGUGUGGAAUAAUGGUUUUACAAUUUUCAGGUACCGAGGAUGAACUUGGAUUCAUAGUUGCGGGCUUAGGUGGAAAAGUUGGAGUUGAGGAAUUAAAUUAUUUUUUUUAGAGAUUUUUAGGAAAUUGAUUUAGUAUCAAUUUAAUUAAUUUGAGAUGUUGUCUUAUUUAUUUGAGGAAAUUUGAUUGAUUUUGUAUCAAUAAAAUGUAUUUUAUUUCGUUUGAGAUCCUGGUUGUCUUUUAUGAAGUAUUUUGAUUUAAUGAAAUCGAGGAUUUUAUUUAGAAAAAAUUCGGGGCAUUACAGAAUGGUAUUAGAGCCUGUACCCAACUGGAAGUGUGAGUUUAGUGAUGAUGUUGUCCGGUGUGUGUGGGCGAGUGUUUAGUAUUGACUAGUUACCACUUGUAGUCGGGUGUGUGCGUCCGGAUGUCGUUCACUGACAGUUAUUAGGAUAAUUACUAUCAGUGAUUAGGGGCAGGUGUCCCUAGAUCACUAUCGGUUUUAUUUUGUGGACGGGUGACGGCAUCAUCUAGUUACCACAACGGCUACAGAGUGUGUGGGCGGAUAACUAGCACUGUCAACUACCACAAUUUUUUUUCAUGUCACUGAAUUUCACAUCGCCUGGGGUAAGAAUUUUAGGAUUUUAUUUUACCACUUUUGAUGUUUUCGGGUAUGCAAAGUCUGUUGGAUUUGAAUUUUGGGGCGAAAUUCUUUUUAAGUGGUGGAGAAUGUGACAAAUCGGAUUUUUAAGAGUUGAAAUUAUAUUUUAUUUCAUGAUUUUUUUUUUUAAAUUGUCAUAAUUGAUAAUUUAAUUUUUAUUUUGGAGAAUUACUCAAUUUAAAUAUUUAUUGAGUUUGAUUUAUUAGGUAUGCACUUGCAUAUAUAUAUAUAUGUGUGAUAUAUAUAUAUUAAGUUUGAUGGAGAUUGAAUCAAAAGGGAGCAGUGCUGAAAUGAUGUUGGAGAGGCAGCCGAAGGGAUAAAAGAAGAAGAAAAAAAUUGAUAAUUGGUGGGUUUCACUUAUUUGAUGGGUUGAGUUGAGUUUAUUACAAUUGUAUACAUUGUAUAUAUAUUUAUGUUUCUUGAUCUGGUGAAAGGAAGAAAGCAAAUUGAUUUAUUUGGUUACCUUUGUAUAUAUAAUGAUAUAUAUAUAUAUUUAGUACCUUGCAUGGGCAACAUGGAUGCUGCCAGCGAAAUGGUGAGAAGAGUAAGGAAAUUGUGAUAAAGCUGUGGGUCCCAUUAGUUAAAUUCUUGGCCCAAUUAAUUUUGCACUUAUUAUGGAGAUAGAUUUUUGUUUGUUAAACUGAUGUAUAGAAAGCAACUAUAUGUGGUGGCGGGUCCAUUUUUUUGGGUUCAUUGUAUUUGGCCUUGAAUUGUGCUUGGCCUUUACUUUUACACGUGGUGUUUUCUUUUUGGGAUGAGAUUGCAAUUGUUAAAAUAUUAAAUGAAUGAAGAUAUAAGGAUAAGUAAAGUACAGGAAGCAUGGGUGGCGGGUCAAUUGUGAUUAUUAUGUUAGACUUUAGAUAUUUGAUUUGAUUUUUGGUGGUAGAUUUUUGUUUAAGUGUCGGUGGAAUUGCAUUAUAAAUAGAAUGUUUGUGCAAAGAUGGUAUUAACUGAAAGAAAGUAGAGAUAGAAAAUUAGAGAAUGAGAAAUACAGUGAGGAAGUCGAGAGUCUCAGAGAAGGCAAAACUUGAUAAAUUUGAUGAUCCAGUGUGGAAUAAUGGUUUUACAGUGUAGGGAUCAUCAUACCUUGAAUGGCUUGAAUGAUUUUAUUUGAAAAAUUUUGUUAAUUGUUAUUUUGCUAAAAUUGCAUAUAUGUAUUUUGUUUAAAAGCAUAUAUAUAUUUUUGUAAAGCAAAUUUAUCAUGAAACUCUUUGAAAUCCUUGUUAUGGUUUUUCCUACUGUCUCACCCCCCUACAGUUUCAGGUACCGAGGAUGAACUUGGAUUCAUAGUUGCGGACUUAGGUGGAAAAGUUGGAGUUGAGGAAUUAAAUUAUUUUUUUUAGAGAUUUUUAGGAAAUUGAUUUAGUAUCAAUUUAAUUAAUUUGAGAUGUUGUCUUAUUUAUUUGAGGAAAUUUGAUUGAUUUUGUAUCAAUAAAGGGUAUUUUAUUUCUUUUGA